AUUUUAUAAAAUUCCCUCCCUCCUCCCUCCGAAAUCCCCAACUUUCCCCCCUAAAAUUCCUUAUUUCCCACAUCAAAGAAAGAAACCCAGAAGCUUAUUCAACUCUAGGGAAAAUCAAAAUCAAAGAACCCAAAACCAGGAAACUAAGGAAACGAUGAGAAAAAGAGAAAAAAGGAUUGGACAUUGAAAGUUACCGAGUGGGAGGGUUGUCAAGGGCAUGAAACUUGCAUUAUUUUUCCCACUCUUAACCUAGCAUUUGAUAUCGGUCGAUGCCCACAACGUGCCCUUUCUCAAGAUUUUCUUUUUAUUUACUCAAUCCAACUCCAUUAAUUCCAAUUUUGCAGUGAAAAGGAAAGGAAGAUUUAGUUUUCAAGGAAAAAAGUGUGGAUUCGGUGCAGUUCAGUAGACUGUGAGUAUGAAACCUGCUUGGGAGACUUGUACAGUGUUGCUUGGAUGGAGGACGGUGACAUACAUAAUCUGCGGAAGGAGACUUUGCACCAGCAAUAUGAAAUUGAAUUAGCAUGGACAAUCUCUUCACAUGUUUGGGUACCAAUCCUGCUAACGAUAACUUCAAAUUCGUCGAUGGGAACUCAUUGUUGCCACCCACCAAAGCUGUUAAUCAACGCUAUGAUGAUCUUGUCCAUUUCCGGGAUAAGUAUCGCAAGGCACCUGAUGUCUUGGUUAGGAAGGUUGAAGCUCAAAAGCAGUAUCGAUAUACUGUCUUUGUUUGUGGCUGUCCUAAGGCAUACCACCCAGCCUGUAUCAAAAGGGAUGAGGCAUUCUUUAAAUCCAAGGCAAAAUGGAACUGCGACAUACACGGAUAAAGAAGGUAUCAGGCAGCAGCAGUUGUUGGCAUUUAUCCCAAGACAUCACAAGCACUACAUUUUACCGAAUUCUGUCAGCAGGAAGGUGCAUUUUAGUCCACCGUUACAGACAGAUCCUAGGGAAAAUUAUCUCCAUGCUAAAUCUUGUCUUCAGCCUUCAGGCUUGCUGAGAACAUCCAAGAUGCUUAUGGUGAGGCAGCUAGCAUUGCUGAACAGUCACAUUAUUUAACACCAAAACCCAUAUUUUACGGGUUUUCAAAGAAGAAAAUGCUGAGAAUAGAUGGUCUCUAUAAAAAGAUGGGCUACAAGGACACCAAGUUACUGAUGCUUUACGGGCUCUGAUAGCCAAUGGCGUUGAAGCGGGGACUAUCCAGUGUGGGCGUCCAAAGGAACAGAAGUUUUGGAUCUCGUUUGCGUAUCGUGAUUCUUUUUUUCUUCUCAAUUCUGAUGCUCAUUGCUUUGAGUUCAUUACAAGAUUUCCUUGAUUAAAUAAAUGUAUUAUAUCUUUUAUUACCAAGAUUUACUUGAUUAAGAAAAUGCAUUGUAUGUUUUAUUACCUUGCAUAUGUAUUAUUUAUUUUAGUUUUGAUUCUAAAUUUUUAUUUUUA